rnacentral:rRNA from 1 species
UACGUAGGGGGCUAGCGUUGUCCGGAAUCAUUGGGCGUAAAGAGCGCGUAGGCGGCCAGAUAAGUCCGGCGUGAAAGUCACAGGCUCAACCUGUGAAUGCCGCUGGAAACUGUCUGGCUAGAGUCCGGAAGGGGCGAGUGGAAUUCCUGGUGUAGCGGUGAAAUGCGCAGAUAUCAGGAGGAACACCAAUGGCGAAGGCAGCUCGCUGGGACGGUACUGACGCUGAGGCGCGAAAGCGUGGGGAGCAAACAGG